rnacentral:rRNA from 1 species
GGGCCCGCACAAGCGGUGGAGCAUGUGGUUUAAUUCGAUGCAACGCGAAGAACCUUACCUGCCUUUGACAUUGACAGAACCCUGGAGAGAUCCGGGGGUGCCUUCGGGCCUGGAAAACAGGUGCUGCAUGGCUGUCGUCAGCUCGUGUCGUGAGAUGUUGGGUUAAGUCCCGCAACGAGCGUAACCCUUGUCUUUAGUUGCCAUCAUUUAGUUGGGCACUUUAAAGAGACUGCCGGUGAUAAACCGGAGGAAGGUGAGGACGACGUCAAGUCAGCAUGCCCCUUACGCCCUGGGCUACACACGUACUACAAUGGCCGAGACAAAGAGUCGCAAGUCUGCAAAGGCAAGCUAA